AAAAUAUCUAUCCUCCCUCUAAGCCUAGGUAGAAAACUAAGUUAUAAGACAAGGAUGAACACGAUAUAUGGUACUUUUUAAAAUCUGGUUCCCAAAGAAAUAAAACAUUUUAAAAAGAAUUUUAAAAUAAUGUAUUUAGCUUAUGCUGAGUAUAAAUUAGUGAGCAACUAAUUUAAAAAUAUUUAAGGAAUAAUAGUCCCCUCUGUUAUAAUAAAUUACUAUUGACCUAAUUUAUUUAUUAAGCUUCUCUUCUUAUUUGGGUAAUUAAUUCUAAGAAUUAGAACUUGUUUACACUAGUAAAUAUACUUUUAUUAUUUUCUUACUUAAAUAAGUUUUAUCAAUUUUAAAUUAAAUAUAAACUAAAUAACUUGAGAUUCUCCAAACUGUUUAACAAAGACAUAGUAAGACUGUGUCUUAUGUAUCUGCCCAAUGAAUAAUUUUUUAUGGCUUUAAAGUAGCGCAAUAAUUAGUUUAUUAAUUGUAAACCUGUAUGAAGCUAGCAUUGGUUAAUCAUGUUUAUUCUUAUCUGUUGAAUCUUAGUUAUCAGUACAAACGCUGAUAUGCUCCCCGAAGACGAUAAGACCCUAAGACCUUCACCUUGUUUGGCUGGGAUAGCCUACUUAAUAUAAUAAAGAAACCUUAAUUAUUACGAACCAAUUAUUUUGCUAUACAUAGGUACCUUAGGGAUAACAGCGGGUAAUACUUUUAGAGCUCUUAUUUAAAAGAUAUUCGUGACCUCGAUGUUGAAUUAAGUAAUAUAGUGCUGCAGAAGGUGCUAUUUUAAGUCUGUUCGACU
rnacentral:rRNA from 1 species